ensembl:lncRNA
CCCAUAAUUUCAAACAUAUGUGUUAUAAAUGUCUAUUUAUCUGCUCUAUAAACUAUUAGUUCACAUUUUAUAAACUAAUUAUUGCCCCUUAUUAAAUCCCUUUAAGUACACCUUAAGAACAUGUUAAUGGAGACAACUGGAAAACGCCUUAAUUAAUUACAUUCCAUGUAAUUCUUUAAAUAUAUAUAUUUUUAUUUUGGUUAAUAUAUUGUGUAUCGACAGUGGGAGACAUACAUGACAGAUGAGAAUGUCGGGAUUCGUAACCCUGUUUCCAGUGGGUAUGCCUGGUCUGGAAUGGGUAGCUCUACCACCAGACCAGACACUGUUACGUUCCAUACAAUUCUAAAGGGACUAAAAUAUUCCUAUGAGGAGUACCUAAUUACCCAGAGUGCUUAUGGCACACAUCACAUGGGAGGAUGAUGCCUUUAUGUCUCAACUCAAGGCCCACAACUGUGGAUGUAGCUAGUCUGCAUAUCAAAGAAAUAGCACACCAUAUUUAUGUUACUAAGGGACAGCAUACACAAAGGCCUAAAUCCUAACCUCAGGACCAUGUGCUAAACUCAAUUCACUUGUGUAAAUUGCGAAUUGAGAUCAAAUUAAGAUUCUGUUAAGAUUCUGGCCAAAGAGAACAGCAGGAACAUCAAAUUAAACUUUGAUUUGUCAUCUAACUGUACAAAUAGAUAUUGGUCUGAUUAGUAGGCUAUACAAUAAAAUAAAUAAAUAAAAUACAAUAAACCAGUUGAGAACAUGUCCUCAAAUUACAACCAAGUUUUCAAGUCUAUUUAGAGAAAUAAAACGUGUUGGGUUGCGGAUUGUCUGGAAAAAUUAGUGUGAGAUAUUGGCGUAUUUAUGUUAAUUUUAAAAUGGGAAUAGAGGGAGUUUGAAGACCAAGAAGGAAAAUGUGCUCAGAACAGUUCUAGUGUUAUGUGUGUUUGCGACCGACUGGUUACCAAUCUCCACAGUUUAAGCUUGCUGAGAUAAUACCUUGGCAUUAGCUAGGGGAGCUAAAGCAAGUGUUCAGGUCUCUGGCAAGGUUACUUAUCAAGCCAGUCUAGUUGACAGAGUGUGGUUCAUGAUGAUGAAGAACCAAAUUUGAAUAGAGAAAUGAUUUUUAGAAAUAGAGAUAAUAUUGUGUUUAGUAGUUAUACAGCUGGGAAUAUACAGUUUUUUAUACAGUAUCCAGAAACAAAUUCAGUUUCCUAAACUGUUUUAACUGUUAUGUUGUGCAGAAUUGUGCUUGAUGCACACAUUUUUAUUGAAUGAGUCUUUGUGUUCUCUCCGUCACUCACAUUGAGGUAUUGAGAGUUGCUGGUGCGCAACAAAUGUGCAGGUGUUCAUAUCUUGGUGUUGAGAUAAAAAACGGUGUUCUUUUUAGUGUUGAUUCUAGUGGGGUUAACACCAGUGGGAUUUAAAUUGACCCCACCUACAGAUAGUCAAAUAAGUGUUGUUUGAAUCACAGUGGAAUCAACACCACAUGGGCUUGUUGUUUCCCCCUGUACAUAUCCCUGCUACUGUUAUUUUACUGCUGCUCUUUAAUUAUUUGUUAUUCUUAUCUCUUACUUUUUUUAGGUGUUUUCUUAAAACUGCAUUGUUGGUUAAGGGCUUGUAAGUAAGCAUUUCACUGUAAGGUCUACACCUGUUGUAUUCAACGCAUGUGAUAAAUAAAAUUUGAUUUAAUUUGAUUUGUUACUCGACUGUGUUGAGUUAUUUUUCUUUCAGUGUGAAAAAGACAUGGGCGGGUCCUCAUUAUCAUAUUUCCCAGCAUGCUUUGUUGCAGGUUGCUUUUUUUAGAACAGUUUCUUUUAAUAUCUAUAUUUCUCCAUGCACAAUGAUUGAUUAAUUCAUCUUAGACUACACAACGAUAAAUAAAAUACAUUUUUGUAAACUAAUCCAAUCUGUAAGUGGUUGGACUUAUUUCACCCGUUAUUGAGAUAGUUGUUCCAGUUUAGAUGGUUUAGAUAGUCUCAGUUAUCAAUCUUCACUACUUUGGCAGCCAAUCUAACUGCAGAUUAUGGAUGAAUAAAAGUUCCAAUUGUUGGACACUUAACUCUGUCUGGAUUACAAUAGGAAUUCUGCAAUACAGCAUAAUAUGAUUUAUGUAUGUAAAUGCAAACCUGGCAUUUCAGACCACUGUGUUAGGGUAAAACUUGGUUGUCAUGGUAUUAUAAAAAAAAAAAAGUACUUCUUCUGACAAAAUAUUCACUUAGGCACUCAUUUGGUGAAGACUACAGGACUGAAAGCCAUCAACGCAACAAUGAUAUCUCUGUCACUAGCAAAUACAGUCAUGGGUGGUACUAGAAUCUAAAAUAUUAGCUCUAAAAGCACCCAGGGAAAUAAAUAUGAAAAUAACACUUUAACCCUACAGUGUUAAAAAACAACAACAACAAGUUACUGCAAGACCACAGGUGUUAAUUACCCAACACUGAGAAAGUGUAACAGCAUCAGCUCUAAUAAAGUGCUAAUUACCCAACACUGAGAAAGUGUAACAGCAUC